rnacentral:rRNA from 1 species
GUGGGGAAUUUUGGACAAUGGGCGCAAGCCUGAUCCAGCAAUGCCGCGUGCAGGAAGAAGGCCUUCGGGUUGUAAACUGCUUUUGUACGGAACGAAACGGUCCGGGUUAAUACCCUGGGCUAAUGACGGUACCGUAAGAAUAAGCACCGGCUAACUACGUGCCAGCAGCCGCGGUAAUACGUAGGGUGCAAGCGUUAAUCGGAAUUACUGGGCGUAAAGCGUGCGCAGGCGGUUUUGUAAGACAGGCGUGAAAUCCCCGGGCUCAACCUGGGAACUGCAUCUGUGACUGCAUUGCUGGAGUGCGGCAGAGGGGGAUGGAAUUCCGCGUGUAGCAGUGAAAUGCGUAGAUAUGCGGAGGAACACCGAUGGCGAAGGCAAUCCCCUGGGCCUGCACUGACGCUCAUGCACGAAAGCGUGGGGAGCAAACAGGAUUAGAAACCCUAGUAGUCC